GGAAGGCAUUCGUAUCCGGUGGUACGGCCGGACUUCAAAUCCGGUUAGGGGCGUUAGACGCUCCUGGGUAGGUUCGACUCCUGCUGCCUUCCGCCA
rnacentral:tRNA from 1 species